ACGCGUAGAAUCUGGCUNUAGGUCUGGGACAACCACUGGAAACGGUGGCUAAUACCGGAUGUGCCGAAAGGUGAAAGGUUAACUGCCUGGAGAUGAGCUCGCGUCUGAUUAGCUAGUAGGUGUGGUAAGAGCGCACCUAGGCGACGAUCAGUAGCUGGUCUGAGAGGACGAUCAGCCACACUGGGACUGAGACACGGCCCAGACUCCUACGGGAGGCAGCAGUGGGGAAUUUUCCGCAAUGGGCGAAAGCCUGACGGAGCAAUACCGCGUGAGGGAGGAAGGCUCUUGGGUCGUAAACCUCUUUUCUCAGGGAAGAACAAAAUGACGGUACCUGAGGAAUAAGCAUCGGCUAACUCCGUGCCAGCAGCCGCGGUAAUACGGAGGAUGCAAGCGUUAUCCGGAAUGAUUGGGCGUAAAGCGUCCGCAGGUGGCUGUGUAAGUCUGCUGUUAAAGAGUCUAGCUCAACUAGAUACAAGCAGUGGAAACUACACGGCUAGAGUACGUUCGGGGCAGAGGGAAUUCCUGGUGUAGCGGUGAAAUGCGUAGAGAUCAGGAAGAACACCAGUGGCGAAGGCGCUCUGCUAGGCCGUAACUGACACUGAGGGACGAAAGCUAGGGGAGCGAAAGGGAUUAGAUACCCC
rnacentral:rRNA from 1 species